CAGGGACUAGUCUCUCCUCUUUUGAUUCUUCAGGCCAUGUCUAUGCAAGGCUGAAUUGACGGGGUUGUGCUUUUCCUUUGAAACAUUCCCUCUCAGGAGUUCCCUGGUGGCCAAGUGGUUAGCAUCCACCUGCCAAUGCAGGGGACACGGGUUCAAUCCCUGGUCCAGAAACUCGGAUUCCGCGUGCCUCAGGGCAGCUAAGCCUGCUCUCUAGAGCCUGUGGUCAGCAACAAGAGAAGCCCCCGCGCCUCACAGCUGGAGCAGAGCCCCCGCAGCCACGCAGGCCUGGCGCAGCUGGAUGCACGUGGAGUGAGCUGGAGGCCACGAGAGGACAGACCACACCAGGCUCUGUGGAAUGGAAUCCUGAAUCCAGCGGUGCUCUGGGCGCUGGAGAACACAGUCGCUUUAAACCGUGUAACCCCAUCACAGAGAAAUGGAAGAAGAAAUUGAGCCUCUGUUGGCCUCUGGAUCUUGGAGUAUGCCCUUCCCACUUUUAUCACUAACCUGGAGAAUUCUGGAGACACUUCGUUUGCAUUUAAAGGAAUGUUUGCAUAGGAGGAGUCUUUCUGAAAUUGUUUGCAUCUGGGGAUUCAAAUUGCCUAAUUGGGUCCAGGAGUACUUUCUUAUUUGUGCGGUGAGGUGGCCUGGAUGGAGCCCACCUGACCUCCUGCCCUGAAGUGGGAUUCGUCUGCUCAGGUUGUCAAGGGUGUGGGAGGGGAUGGUGAGCAUUGCCUGUAGCACAGCAGGGCACUCCAGCUACUCAGGAAGUCCCAGGCUGCCUUUCCAUGUAACUGCGCCAAGGGAAAGCUUCCCAGACCUUUUGGAGUUCAAACAGCUCUUGUAAAAUGGCAUUUUGAUGAGCUGAGCAUAAAUGAAUUGGAAAUGUUCAGAUAAUGUUUCCCCAGGGUUUAAAAACCAAGGAGAAACGUGCUUGGCAAAGGGUCUAAGGGGCUGGGCCAAGAGUUUGAAAAGUGAUUUGAGAUGCUGUGAUGAACCCAAAUUACCACCAGUUUCUCCCAUCUUUGCUGGUGCAGAGGGCC
ensembl:lncRNA